rnacentral:rRNA from 1 species
GAUGAACGCUGGCGGCGUGCCUAAUACAUGCAAGUCGAGCGAACGGACGAGAAGCUUGCUUCUCUGAUGUUAGCGGCGGACGGGUGAGUAACACGUGGAUAACCUACCUAUAAGACUGGGAUAACUUCGGGAAACCGGAGCUAAUACCGGAUAAUAUUUUGAACCGCAUGGUUCAAAAGUGAAAGACGGUCUUGCUGUCACUUAUAGAUGGAUCCGCGCUGCAUUAGCUAGUUGGUAAGGUAACGGCUUACCAAGGCAACGAUGCACAGCCGACCUGAGAGGGUGAUCGGCCACACUGGAACUGAGACACGGUCCAGACUCCUACGGGAGGCAGCAGUAGGGAAUCUUCCGCAAUGGGCGAAAGCCUGACGGAGCAACGCCGCGUGAGUGAUGAAGGUCUUCGGAUCGUAAAAUUCUGUUAUUAGGGAAGAACAUAUGUGUAAGUAACUGUGCACAUCUUGACGGUACCUAAUCAGAAAGCCACGGCUAACUACGUG